rnacentral:rRNA from 1 species
UACGUAGGGGGCAAGCGUUGUCCGGAAUCAUUGGGCGUAAAGCGCGUGUAGGCGGCCCAGUAAGUCCGCUGUGAAAGCCCAGGGCUCAACCCUGGGAUGCCGGUGGAUACUGUUGGGCUCGAGUCCGGAAGAGGCGAGUGGAAUUCCCGGUGUAGCGGUGAAAUGCGCAGAUAUCAGGAGGAACACCGGUGGCGAAGGCGGGUCUCUGGGCCGCAUACUGACGCUGAGGAGCGAAAGCGUGGGGAGCGAACAGG